UGGGUAACCUGCCUGUAAGACUGGGAUAACUCCGGGAAACCGGAGCUAAUACCGGAUAGUUCCUUGAACCGCAUGGUUCAAGGAUGAAAGACGGUUUCGGCUGUCACUUACAGAUGGACCCGCGGCGCAUUAGCUAGUUGGUGAGGUAACGGCUCACCAAGGCGACGAUGCGUAGCCGACCUGAGAGGGUGAUCGGCCACACUGGGACUGAGACACGGCCCAGACUCCUACGGGAGGCAGCAGUAGGGAAUCUUCCGCAAUGGACGAAAGUCUGACGGAGCAACGCCGCGUGAGUGAUGAAGGUUUUCGGAUCGUAAAGCUCUGUUGUUAGGGAAGAACAAGUGCAAGAGUAACUGCUUG
rnacentral:rRNA from 1 species